rnacentral:rRNA from 1 species
GUAAACCUGCUUGUAAAUAUCUGCUCUCAUCAGAUCUUGGCAGCUAAGCAAGGGUGGACCUGGUUAGUACUUGGAUGUUGAUGUUGGUAGUGGUUUACA